AGCGCAGGCGGGAAGACAAGUUGGAAGUGAAAUCCAUGGGCUCAACCCAUGAACUGCUUUCAAAACUGUUUUUCUUGAGUAGUGCAGAGGUAGGUGGAAUUCCCGGUGUAGCGGUGGAAUGCGUAGAUAUCGGGAGGAACACCAGUGGCGAAGGCGGCCUACUGGGCACCAACUGACGCUGAGGCUCGAAAGUGUGGGUAGCAAACA
rnacentral:rRNA from 1 species